rnacentral:rRNA from 1 species
UACGAAGGGGGCUAGCGUUGCUCGGAAUUACUGGGCGUAAAGCGCGCGUAGGCGGAUCGUUAAGUCGGGGGUGAAAUCCUGGAGCUCAACUCCAGAACUGCCUUUGAUACUGGCGAUCUUGAGUCCGGGAGAGGGGAGUGGAACUCCGAGUGUAGAGGUGAAAUUCGUAGAUAUUCGGAAGAACACCAGUGGCGAAGGCGGCUCACUGGCCCGGUACUGACGCUGAGGUGCGAAAGCGUGGGGAGCAAACAGG